CAGCUCACCUGGGCCGGCUCUCUGCCCAGCAACCUCCCAGCAGUCAGGGCUCCUAGCAGCUGCCCCCUGCCCUGCCCACUGGGGCCCAGGAAAAGCAGAGAGUUGCUGAAGGUCUCCCGGCAGUAGCGGCUGUCACUGCUACGGGGGGUGAUCUAGGAGUGAACGCCACGAGGCAGGUGGGGAAGGCUGCUCUGAACGUGUCUGUGACUACAGCUCCGUGAGAAAGUUGGGACCCAGAAGCUUCCGCCCCGAAGCGGCCCCCACCUGAGCCGUCACCAUCCUCCCGCAUUAAUGGGGGCAUUCGUGCAGACAAAGACAGCCCCCAGAGUCAGGCCUGGAUUUUAAUCCCACCAUCUCGCCCACUGAGUGACUGCAGGAGACCAGAAGGCGGGGAAAACACGGUUUAGCACUCACUGCUAGCUGGCAGUUCACACUGCCUUCUCAAAUGAUCCCCAUAAUUGCUAUUUUACAGAUGGGGAAACUGAGGCAUGGGGUUCAUUUGAUUCACGCAUGGUCACUCACCUAAUAAGUGGCAAGCUAGGACUGGAAUCCAUCCCUCCUGAAUCCAAAGCCAACACUCUGGCCCCUUUCCCCCUUGGCCCCCUCUCCCCUGCAUUCCCAGUGCCUGUGUGGGGGUCACCCACAACGCU
rnacentral:lncRNA from 10 species